GCGGGUAUAGUUUAGAGGUAAAACAUCUGCCUUCCACGCAGAGGUCGUCGGUUCGAUUCCGUCUACCCGCACCA
rnacentral:tRNA from 10 species